rnacentral:lncRNA from 1 species
GUGCUUUUGUCACUCAGGUCUGGACAGAGACUCCCAAGCUGAGGUUCAUCAAAAACGCGAGCCUGAAGCUCAUUGGAAGGAAGUUGUCCAGCACCUGUGAUGCAGCACAGAAGCCCUGGUUUCCUGGUCUCCUUUGCAGCCAGUCACAUCUGUGUCUACACCGCACUCUCUGAAAGGUUCCAUUUCGUGCUGCCUGGCAACUCCAGCCACCCACCUGCUGUUUCAGAGCUGGGAGCACAGCCUGUGGGCCAUGAUGAAUGCUCUGAAGCCAGUGCACUGACUCAUCUGAAGAGAAGCUGAUUGUCACUGAAUAAUUAAACAUCUCCCUUCCCCCAAACAUGAGUUUCAAGAGUGGGACAAUCAUUUUUCAGUACUGAUGAGCACCGCAGGACUGAUGGCAUAGCCACUGGUCACCAGCAUAGGGGCACACAGACGAACUAGCUCUUUGUUCCACAACAUUCCUAAGGAGAAAGAGAUAAUGCAGCCCAGAAAGUACAUGGCCACCAAGAAACUCAUGAGCAGCAGCCUGGUCUGGGUGUCCUUUUGUACUAGAGGUGACUUUGAGAAAGGCAAGUGCUGUGGCGAUGCCAGGACUGCCCCUCAUGCCUCUACAGGAGAGUCACCAUGUAACCACUCAAAAUAUCCAUGAGUCCUAGAGGGGAGACAUCCUGGAAUGUGAGCAAAGUCACUUUUGCCUGACCUGCCUACUUUUACCUCCAAUGGCCAUACCUCAUCUAUGGUGACGAGCAUUCCUCCUGCUCAACAUAGC